rnacentral:tRNA from 1 species
GCGAGAAUAGCUCAGUUGGUAGAGCACUGUCCUUCCAAGUCAGGGGUCGCGGGUUCGAAUCCCGUUUCUCGCUCCA